AUUGAACGCUGGCGGCAUGCCUUACACAUGCAAGUCGAACGGCAGCGGGCCUUCGGGUGCCGGCGAGUGGCGAACGGGUGAGUAAUGCAUCGGAACGUGCCAUUGAGUGGGGGAUAACGUAGCGAAAGUUGCGCUAAUACCGUAUAUUCUGUGAGCAGGAAAGCAGGGGACCGCAAGGCCUUGCGCUCUUUGAGCGGCCGAUGUCAGAUUAGCUAGUUGGUGAGGUAAAGGCUUACCAAGGCGACGAUCUGUAGCGGGUCUGAGAGGAUGAUCCGCCACACUGGAACUGAGACACGGUCCAGACUCCUACGGGAGGCAGCAGUGGGGAAUUUUGGACAAUGGGGGCAACCCUGAUCCAGCCAUGCCGCGUGAGUGAAGAAGGCCUCGG
rnacentral:rRNA from 1 species